rnacentral:rRNA from 1 species
UGGGGAAUAUUGGACAAUGGGCGAAAGCCUGAUCCAGCCAUGCCGCGUGUGUGAAGAAGGUCUUCGGAUGGUAAAGAACUUUAAGCUGGGAGGAAGGGCAUUAACCUAAUACGUUAGUGUUUUGACGUUACCGACAGAAUAAGCCCCGGCUAACUCUGUGCCAGCCGCCGCGGUAAUACAGAGGGUGCAAGCGUUAAUCGGAAUUACUGGGCGUAAAGCGCGCGUAGGUGGUUUGUUAAGUUGGAUGUGAAAUCCCCGGGCUCAACCUGGGAACUGCAUUCAAAACUGACUGACUAGAGUAUGGUAGAGGGUGGUGGAAUUUCCUGUGUAGCGGUGAAAUGCGUAGAUAUAGGAAGGAACACCAGUGGCGAAGGCGACCACCUGGACUAAUACUGACACUGAGGUGCGAAAGCGUGGGGAGCAAACA